rnacentral:rRNA from 1 species
GACGAACGCUGGCGGCGUGCUUAACACAUGCAAGUCGAACGGAAAGGCCCUGCUUUUGUGGGGUGCUCGAGUGGCGAACGGGUGAGUAACACGUGAGUAACCUGCCCUUGACUUUGGGAUAACUUCAGGAAACUGGGGCUAAUACCGGAUAGGAUCUCCUGCUGCAUGGUGGGGGUUGGAAAGUUUCGGCCGUUGGGGAUGGACUCGCGGCUUAUCAGCUUGUUGGUGGGGUAGUGGCUUACCAAGGCUUUGACGGGUAGCCGGCCUGGGAGGGUGACCGGCCACAAUGGGACUGAGAGACGGCCCAGACGCGUACGGGAGGCAGCAGGGGGGAAUAUUGCACAAUGGGCGGAAGCGUGAUGCAGCAACGCCGCGUGCGGGAUGACGGCCUUCGAGUUGUAAACCGAUUUGGCCUGUGACGAAGCGUGAGUGACGGUAAUGGGUAAAGAAGCACCGGCUAACUACGUG